UAACAGGAUUAGAUACCCUGGUAGUCCACGCCCUAAACGAUGUCAACUAGUUGUUGGGUGGGUAAAACCAUUUAGUAACGUAGCUAACGCGUGAAGUUGACCGCCUGGGGAGUACGGCCGCAAGGUUAAAACUCAAAGGAAUUGACGGGGACCCGCACAAGCGGUGGAUGAUGUGGAUUAAUUCGAUGCAACGCGAAAAACCUUACCUACCCUUGACAUGUUCAGAAUCCCGGAGAGAUUUGGGAGUGCCCGAAAGGGAGCUGGAACACAGGUGCUGCAUGGCUGUCGUCAGCUCGUGUCGUGAGAUGUUGGGUUAAGUCCCGCAACGAGCGCAACCCUUGUCGUUAAUUGCCAUCAUUUAGUUGGGCACUUUAACGAGACUGCCGGUGACAAACCGGAGGAAGGUGGGGAUGACGUCAAGUCCUCAUGGCCCUUAUGGGUAGGGCUUCACACGUCAUACAAUGGUCGGUACAGAGGGUUGCCAAGCCGCGAGGUGGAGCCAAUCCCAGAAAGCCGAUCGUAGUCCGGAUUGCAGGCUGCAACUCGCCUGCAUGAAGUCGGAAUCGCUAGUAAUCGCGGAUCAGCAUGUCGCGGUGAAUACGUUCCCGGGUCUUGUACACACCGCCCGUCACACCAUGGGAGUGGGUUCUGCCAGAAGUGGGUAGCCUAACCGCAAGGAGGGCGCUUACCACGGCAGGGUUCAUGACUGGGGUGAAGUCGUAACAAGGUAACCA
rnacentral:rRNA from 1 species